rnacentral:rRNA from 1 species
GAUGAACGCUAGCGACAGGCUUAACACAUGCAAGUCGAGGGGCAGCGCGGAGGUAGCAAUACCACUGGCGGCGACCGGCGCACUGGUGAGUAACACGUAUGCAACCUGCCCCAAUCCGGGGGAUAAGCUCGAGAAAUUGGGUCUAAUACCCCAUACGCUGACGGACCACAUGGUCUGUCAGUGAAAGAUUUAUCAGAUUGGGAUGGGCAUGCGGCGCAUUAGCUAGUUGGCGGGGUAACGGCCCACCAAGGCGACGAUGCGUAGGGGUUCUGAGAGGAAGGUCCCCCACAUUGGUACUGAGACACGGACCAAACUCCUACGGGAGGCAGCAGUGAGGAAUAUUGGUCAAUGGACGAGAGUCUGAACCAGCCAAGUCGCGUGAGGGAGGAAGGUCCUAUGGAUUGUAAACCUCUUUUGCCGGGGAGUAACAAGCGGGACGUGUCCCGCCCUGAGAGUACCCGGAGAAAAAGCAUCGGCUAACUCCGUGCCAGCAGCCGCGGUAAUACGGAGGAUGCGAGCGUUAUCCGGAUUUAUUGGGUUUAAAGGGUGCGCAGGCGGCGAGUCAAGUCAGCGGUCAAAGUGCGGAGCUCAACUCCGUAUCGCCGUUGAAACUGGUUUGCUAGAGUGCGUGCGAGGAAGGCGGAAUGCGUGGUGUAGCGGUGAAAUGCAUAGAUAUCACGCAGAACUCCGAUUGCGAAAGGCAGCUUUCCAGCACGCUACUGACGCUCAUGCACGAAAGCGUGGGGAUCGAACAGGAUUAGAUACCCUGGUAGUCCACGCGGUAAACGAUGAUUACUAGAUAUUCGGGCCGAUUGGGGCCUGUGUGUCACAGCGAAAGCGUUAAGUAAUCCACCUGGGGAGUACGCCGGCAACGGUGAAACUCAAAGGAAUUGACGGGGGCCCGCACAAGCGGAGGAACAUGUGGUUUAAUUCGAAGCAACGCGAAAAACCUUACCAGGGCUUGACAUCCCUCUGACAGGACCUUAACCGGUCCCUCCUUCGGGCAGAGGUGACGAGGUGGUGCAUGGUCGUCGUCAGCUCGUGUCGUGAGAUGUUGGGUUAAGUCCCACAACGAGCGCAACCCUUAUAUCAAGUAGCUAACAGGUAGAGCUGAGCACUCUUAAUAGACUGCCGUGGAGAACACGGAGGAAGGUGGGGAUGACGUCAAAUCAUCAUGCCCCUUAUGACUUGGGCUACACACGUGCUACAAUGGCCGGUACAAAGAGAGGCGAAGGCGCGAGCCGGAGCGAAGCUCAAAAAGCCGGUCCCAGUUCGGAUUGUAGUCUGCAACUCGACUACAUGAAGUUGGAAUCGCUAGUAAUCGCGGGUCAGCAUGCCGCGGUGAAUACGUUCCCGGGGAUUGUACACACCGCCCGUCAAACCAUGGGAGUCUGGAACAC